GGGGUUAUAGCUCAGCUGGUUAGAGCGCUACGUUGACAUCGUAGAGGCCACUGGUUCGAAUCCAGUUAGUCCCACCA
rnacentral:tRNA from 1 species